AUGUCACCCCACAUUGGCACUGGUGACAGUGACAACAGGACACCCCCAUUGGCAUUGUCACCCCCAUUGGCAUUGUCACCCCCUCAUUGGCACUGUCACCAGUUGGGGACAAAGGGACGCCCCCCAUUGGCAUUGUCACCCCCCCAUUGGCAUUGUCACCCCGACAUUGGCAUUGUCACCAGUUGGGGACAAAGGGGACAGCCACGCUGGCAUUGUCACCCCCACAUUGGCACUGGUGACAGUGACAAAAGGACAGCCCCAUUGGCAUUGUCACCCCCACAUUGGCAUUGUCACCAGUUGGGGACAAAAGGACACCCCCCAUUGGCAUUGUCACCCCCCAUUGGCAUUGUCACCCCCCGACAUUGGCAUUGUCACAGUCCAGGGACAGAGGGACACCCCCCAUUGGCAUUGUCACCAGCUGGGGACAAAGGGACAUCCUGUUUGCAUUGUCACUCCCCAAAAUUGGCACAGGUGACAGUGACAAAGGGACACCCCCCAUUGUCAUUGUCACCCACCCCCCAUUGUCAUUGUCACAGUCCAGGGACAAAGGGACACCCCCCCAGUGUCACUGCCACCCCCCGUGUCCCCCCCACUGUCACCGUGUCACUGUCACCUUUGGGGACAGAAGUCCAUCGGGGCGCGGAUCAGCCACAGCUCCGCUUGGGGACCCCCCAUGGGGACCCCCCCGGGCGCGGCCUCGAACUCGGGGGGACAGCGGAACCGGGGGGGUGGCCCUGGGGACACAGCGGGCGGUGUCACCUCAGCGGGUGGCCCUGGGGACACGCCAGGUCCCCUCUGCGUCCCCCUGACCCCUCAAUGUCCCCAGUGUCCCCCAGACCCACCAAUGUCCCCCCCAGACCCCUCCAUGUCCCCGUGUCCCCCCGAUGUCCCCAGUGUCCCCUCCGUGUCCCCAAUGUCCCCCAAUGUCCCCCCCCCCCCCCCCCCCCCCCCCCCCCCCCCCCCCCCCCCCCCCCUCCCCCCCCACCACCCCCCGCCCCCGCCCCUCCCCCCCCCCCCCCCUGCCCCGCGUGUCCCCCCGAUGUCCCCAAUGUCCCCUCCGUGUCCCCAAUGUCCCCCCAAUGUCCCCGCGUGUCCCCCCGUCCUCUCAAUGUCCCCAAUCUCCCGCCACACACCCGCGCCCCCAUCAUCCCCAGACCCCGCAAUGUCCCCGAAAUCCCCACAGUGUCCCCAAAGCCCCCCCCAAUGUCCCCAAAGUGUCCCCAAAGCCCCCCCCCAAUGUCCCCCACGUGUCCCCCCGCCCAUCCCCAUCCCCGCCAUGUCCCCAUGUCCCCAAUCUCCCGCCACAUCCCCGCCUCCCCCAAUGUCCCCAAUGUCUCCUCCAUGUCCUAA
rnacentral:lncRNA from 1 species